rnacentral:rRNA from 1 species
CCUACGGGCGGCAGCAGUGAGGAAUAUUGGUCAAUGGGCGCGAGCCUGAACCAGCCAAGUAGCGUGAAGGAUGACUGCCCUACGGGUUGUAAACUUCUUUUAUAAAGGAAUAAAGUGAGGCACGUGUGCCUUUUUGUAUGUACUUUAUGAAUAAGGAUCGGCUAACUCCGUGCCAGCAGCCGCGGUAAUACGGAGGAUCCGAGCGUUAUACGGAUUUAUUGGGUUUAAAGGGAGCGUAGAUGGGUUGUUAAGUCAGUUGUGAAAGUUUGCGGCUCAACCGUAGAAUUGCAGUUGAUACUGGCAGCCUUGAGUGCAGUUGAGGUAGGCGGAAUGCGUGGUGUAGCGGUGAAAUGCUUAGAUAUCACGAAGAACUCCGAUUGCGAAGGCAGCUUACUAAACUGCCACUGACAUUGAUGCUCGAAAGUGUGGGUAUCAAACAGGAUUAGAUACCCUAGUAGUC